AUGGCGCUGGCGGCCGCCGCUGCCGCCGCCGCGGCGGGGGUGAGCCAGGCGGCCGUGCUGGGCUUCCUGCAGGCGCACGGCGGGAAGGUGCGGGACUCGGAGCUGCUGAGCCGCUUCAAGCCGCUGCUGGAGGCCGGGGACCCGCGCGGCCGCGCCGCCCGCCGGGACCGCUUCAAGCAGUUCGUCAACGACGUGGCGGUGGUGAAGGAACUCGACGGCGUCAAGUUCGUGGUGCUGAGGAAGAAGCCUCGACACACGCCGGGCCCGCAGCCCCUGCUCCCCAACAUCCCUGGGGUCCCCGCCCCCCCGCCGCCGACGCCGACCCCGUGCACCCCGCCCGGGGAACACGGGGCGGGUGGAGAUCCACCUUCCGCCGCGGGGGCCCCGCCGUCGGAGCCACGGGACCCUCCCGACGCUCCGGCUCCUGAGCCCACCCAGCCCACCGGGGAGCCGUCGGAAGAACCGGCCCAGCCGCCCGGGGGACCCGCCGCCGCCGCCGCUCCGCGGGAUCGAGCGUCCGGGCUAGUCCAGCCCUCCACGGACCCCGCUGCGGACGCGGCCCCGGCCACCUGCGCACCGUCCUCGGCGUCUCCGGAGCCCGGGCCGAGCGUCGCCAGGGGCCCCCCGCCGCCCCUUCCCCGCGCGCCGCCGCCGCCGUCCAAGCCGUGCAUGCUGCCGGUGCGCUGCUGCGUCCCGGGCCCCGCCGCGCUGCGCGUGGUGCGGCUGGAGGAGCAGAAUCUGCGCCGGCAGCUGUCGGAAGAACGGAGCCCGCGGAGCAGCCCGCUGCUCCUGCGCAGGCUCUCGGUGGAGGAAUCCGGCCUGGGGCUGGGGCUGGGCCUGAGCCUGGGCCCGGGGCGCUCCCCACACCUGCGACGCCUGUCACGCGCCGGCCCGCGCCUCCUGAGCCCGGACCUGGAGGAGGCGCCCGCCGCGUCCGCCGCCGCCGCCGCCGCGCCGCCGUCCGCGGUGCCGCUGGAACCCGCCGAGCACGAGUGGCUCGUGCGCACCGCCGGCGGCCGCUGGACCCACCAGUUGCACGGGCUGCUGCUGCGGGACAGCGGCCUGGCGGCCAAACGCGACUUCACGUCGGGUUACACCGCCCUGCACUGGGCCGCCAAGAGCGGCGACCGCGAGAUGGCGCUGCAGCUGGUGGAGGUGGCGCGGCGCGGGGGCGCGCGCGUGGACGUGAACGCGCGCUCGCACGGCGGCUACACGCCGCUGCACCUGGCGGCGCUGCACGGCCACGAGGACGCCGCCGUGCUGCUGGUCGUGCGCCUGGGCGCGCAGGUGCACGUGCGCGACCACAGCGGACGCCGUCCCUACCAGUACCUGCGGCCCGGCGCUUCCUACGCGCUGCGUCGUCUCCUAGGCGACCCCGGCCUGAGGGACGCCGGCGAGCCGGACGCCGGCGUGGGCGGCGGCGGCUCCUCCUCCUCCUCUGUAGCCUCGCGGCACCCCGUGCAAGUGGCCGCGACCAUCCUGGGCUCCACCACCAGCGCGUUUCUGGGGGUCCUGGCGGAUGACCUGAUGCUCCAGGAUCUGGCCCGUGGCUUGCGGAAGUCGAGUUCUUUCAGUAAGUUUUUGGGCGCCUCACCUAUGGUCCCCCGGAAAAAGACGAAGAUCCGCGCCGGCCUGGCCACCUUCUCCGAAGUCUCACGUCGGUCCGCCACCACGGGGCACCUGGCGGGGUUCAUGCCCAGCCUGCCCCCUGCCACCUGAAAGCCCUUUGCGGGGAGAUCUCGGCCUGGUUGAUGUAACCGAGGGGCCUUGGCUCCUACACACACAGGCUUAAGCCUGGCCCAGGGUGUGGGGGCUCAACGCACCGGCACCCCCAUCUCACACACACACACACACCUGCCCCCAUGUCGUUUCCCAUUCCCUGGAUCUGCAUCCA